UAUAUAUUAAUAAAGGAGAUGAUUUGGGCUAUUUGUCCUUGGAUGGUGAAGCCAAUUUGAUGAUGUGGCAUGUUAUGGUGGAUUAGAGGUUGAUUUUGGGAGGGAAUCCAUCUCAAUUCUCAAUACACAAACCAAAAUCAACUCUGGACGCGGGAUCCGACUACAUUUGGGUCACCCAUGUUUUCAAAUGGAUCAUAUAUAUUCCUUUUUAACGCUUUCUUCUCUCCCGUAACUUCAUUUUUCAGAAACCCUAAAUACCAAACAUUCUUCUCCUUCACGCUACAGGAUCCCAAUGUUCAUCCUUCUCCUUCUUCAACUUCUUUGAUCCAUCUGGUGGUUGAUUCUAUCAACAAACCCUAAUCGCCAAAUAUUGUCGUAUCAAUUCGGCACUUGGUUCUUUAAGGUGCUCCUUGAUCCAACUUCUUCUCAAGUGCCAGUGCCUCAUAAUGUCGUAUUAAUUAUCAGUUCUUCAAAGGGUAUUUUGAGAUUUAUUUUACGUACAUAUAAUGAGGGGCAUCUAUGCAUUCGGAAGGUACUGUCGAGAGUUUUAACUUUCUGUCAAAUUAUCAAAGCUCUUUGAAAAUCACCAAGUUGUAUGUGCACAUGGUAGAUGAAACUGGCCUUUUCAAUUGUCUCUGACUUGGUAUGCUAUUUUAUAAUUAAGAACUUGGUAUGCUAUUUAAUAAUUGUUUCUCAAUUUUAAGUGAAACAGUGCCAAAUAAAUGAAAAUUUUUCCCUUCUUUAGUUAAGGUUAAUAGAGUCAUGGCCGUAAUGGAACGUGCAAGGGCGAAGCUACAUAGGAGCCAGGGGAUACAGAUGGGUACCUAUCAUGGUUCAUUAAGUACUAAAGGUUUAUCAAAAACUCAACUUGGUGGUGUCAUAUUUUGUGCCAAUAAAACAAAAGUCAGCAAAUGCAUUUGCAAGAAACUCUUUGGUGAGUUAUCUAUUUCGACUGAUGAUUACUUUUUUUCUCAUGCAAAUCCUUCGUUCAUGGUUAACCUGUAGGUACUAUUGUUGCACUUAAUAAUUCUUUAGAUGAACUUAGAUAUGAUCAUGUGAAAUCAGUUUAUCUUCUUCUGCAAAGUCACCAAUAUGCACCUCCUUUUAACGGGUCAAAGAUGUGCGUAGAAACUUUGAUGACUUCCCAUGAAUGGUAUCCUCUUUAUUUCAAAUGGUUAAGCGAAAGCGUGAAUUAGAGGUGAUAAUCUCAACCUGGGUUAUGUGUAAUUUGUAAAUGGGUUGAUUGUUGUGUUUGAUACAUUUUUUUUUAUUUCUUUGUAGUUAAAUUGAAUUAAUAUGGCCACUCAUGUAUAUAUUGUGGUAAAUGUGAGAAUUCUAUGCAGUUUUUUUUUUUGUAAUUAAAUGAUACUCAUCCAUCAAGUUCAUUACUUGAACUCGUGCGAAUGCUUUGAAUGCUUUUUGAUGAUGAACAUUUGGGUUGGAAAACAAUCACGGAAUGUAGGAAGGCAAGUUUUUUUUUUACUACACAUAGUAUUAGCCAAAGUGUUGGAAAAGUCCUUCUGUUGAGCCGAUUUGACAGUGGAACGCCAUAUAAGGCCUCGAGGUAGUCUAAUCUGUUACUCUCUUUAAUUUCACGUACGUUUUCAUUUUUUUGUAUGUUAGUGAACUAGAUAUACAUGUAUUUUUUCCUGCCUCGAGGUUGACCCGUUUAUUUUCAACCAUAUAUCUUUGUUCAACUUAUUUGAUCUAUUAGAACAAAACAUAAUCUGAUUUGACCCAUUAUUAAUUACGUAAGUGAAUCACCAUUGCCGGCUCUAACCUGUAAUCCUUUUCUAUAGGGUUGUAUUCAUCAAGAAAAAGCUAGGGUGAUUCUGCAACAUUAUCAAUGAUUAUUGUAGGAAGAACUUGUGCAUGGAGAAAAAGGGCACUGGAGAUGGUAUUGUGAGCUAUGGAAUGGAUGAUGGGGAUGACAUUUAUAUGCUUUCUUGGACAUGCACCAUUAUUUGACCCCACAAUGUGUUGCGUAGCUCCUUAGGGUGUGCGUGUGCACUCCCCCUCCUAAUAAGGUAGACAUGCCAUUGGUUGGGAAACGGGUCAAAACGAGUAUUUGGGGUUGGUAUGGAAAGUCUCCCAUUGGAGUUGGUUUAAUCUAAAUGAAUGUAUUUAUGCCGGUUUAGAAGUUACUAAACUUAUCGGCUAUCUGUGCUUAUCUUCAUGUGUUCAAGCGAAAUUAUUCAAGAUUCGCAGCAGAUAUUCAACAAGUUUUAAGGCCUGAAAGACACCUUAAUGGUUCUACUUCGGUAUAACAAAGAACAAGCAGCUCUUUCAUAGUUCAUAUCUUUCCAAAGCAAACCGAGAGAAGCACCAGAUAAAUGCAACAUUUCUUUCAUUUCGGAAUAUAACAGUUAGUAGUCUAUGUAAUAUGUCAUUUUAUUUGCAUUUAUUUUAUUUAUAUACACAAUGUAAAGUAGACUUAUUCAAAGAUUGGCCACUUUAUUGUAUUUGACAUGAUUUAUGUAUCAAAG